UACAGAGGGUGCAAGCGUUAAUCGGAAUUACUGGGCGUAAAGCGCGCGCAGGCGGCUAUCCAAGUCAGUGGUGAAAGCCCGGAGCUCAACUCCGGAACUGCCAUUGAAACUGUUUAGCUUGAGGACGAGAGAGGUGAGUGGAAUUCCCAGUGUAGAGGUGAAAUUCGUAGAUAUUGGGAAGAACACCGGUGGCGAAGGCGGCUCACUGGCUCGUAUCUGACGCUCAGGCGCGACAGCGUGGGGAUCAAACAGG
rnacentral:rRNA from 1 species